AUGACACUCAUCGGCCUCCUUAGAAGAGCAUCAAUGAUGGCAUGAGGCACUUCCCUUUUGGAAUCACACUCGCCUUCACCACACAUUUCCAAGGAAGGCCAAAAGUAGCUCUAGGUAAAAGAAGCAACCUUUUUAGAAAGGUCCAAAACCUAACCAUGGAGGAUAGGGCAUCUAAGAGCCUAGAUGGUUGCCUCCAUGACCUCUAAACCAAAGCAGCAAAAUUUUUCAAUAUCUCUCAUACCAA
rnacentral:lncRNA from 1 species